rnacentral:rRNA from 1 species
GACGAACGCUGGCGGCGUGCUUCACACAUGCAAGUCGAACGAAGUGGCGAACGGGUGAGUAACUCGUAAUCAACCUGCCCUUCAGAGGGGGACAACAGUUUGAAACGACUGCUAAUACCGCAUACUGAAGGCUGGGAUUGCGUCUGAUUAGCUAGUUGGAGGGGUAACGGCCCACCACGGCGAUGAUCAGUAGCCGGUCUGAGAGGAUGAACGGCCAAAGUGGUACUGAGACACGGCCCAGACUCCUACGGGAGGCAGCAGGGGGGAAUCUUCCGCAAUGGACGAAAGUCUGACGGAGCAACGCCGCGUGAGUGAUGACGGCCUUCGGGUGGUAAAGCUCUGUUAAUCGGGACGCGGUACCGGAAUAGAAAGCCACGGCUAACUACGUGCCAGCAGCCGCGGCAAUAC